UGGCUGAAUUGGACGAUUCUGAUUAAAUAUUGUCAUCAUAAUCUUUUUCUAGGUACCGGACUGCUACCAAGACAAAUUCAUCCUUUCAUCAUAUCGUCCUGCGGGCAUUACCGCCACCCAAAGCGUCCUGAGCAUAUUCCAAUGGCACAACGAGACAUUCAACUUUUGGUCACAUUUUCUAGUCUUCGCCUACUUCGCUUGGACAAUCUAUAAAAUGGACCUGCCAUUCUUUGAAGACAACUAUUACUGGCCAUUAUUUUGCGUUGGGCUUGGCCUAUGUUUAUACCCCCUGCUGAGUUCUGUUGCGCAUGCGUUUUCAUCGAUGAAUUUGAAAGUGCGCCAUUUUGUUUUCUAUCUCGACUACAUGGGUAUAAGCGUUUACAGUUGUGCGUCCUCUAUGGCAUUUUUGGCUUAUACCUCGCCUGAGCACGCCAGGAACUCUGUGAUGGCGUAUGUAUUCACUUAUAUCUGCGUGGUUUUGGUAAUAAUAUCAUUCAUAGGCUGCUGUUUAUCAAGGCACUGUCAUGACGCAAACUCCACAAAAGGUGUCUUUCUUAGAGUUGCUGCAUUUUCAGUGCCGUUUCUAUUCGUAUUUGCUUUCAUGAUGAACUGGUUACUCUAUUAUAAAUCAAGUCCACUAGAGCACCAUUACUUACACAUAUUAUGGAACCCGGCAGUGGGGCUGGUGCCUGCGUUCAGGUUGCCCGAAAGGCUCGUUCCAGUCUCGUUUGAUGUAAUCGGUCAGAGUCAUCAGCUAUUCCAUAUUACGUCAUUUAUUGCAUCUAAAUAUCAGUUCGAGGCAGUGAUCAAGGACUGUUUUCUCAAGCGGGGGCAGAUUAACACGGAUGUGGUGUCAGGACUUAGCGUCGAGGCGUUUCUUCUAGUGGUUUUUACAGAUCUGGUUAUUUUGUGCUAUUUUUCAAUCAAGUUGUACAAAUCAACAGAUAAAGAAGAGAAGCUAAAUUAUAAUAAAAUGGACUGAAUAUUUGGACGAAAUAGACUUGGUGCGAAAUAAAAUAGACUGAAUAUCAAUCCUGAUAAAAUGGACUGAAUAUUUGGACGAAAUAUGUAGACUUGCUGUUCAUAUGACCCUGCAUAUAUAUAAUACAUAAUAAUAGUAUAAUUAAUAAACAUUAUUAAAAUUGAUAGCAAUUAAGUAAUUAUAAAACAUUAUUAAAA